AUGGAAAUUGGGAACCGUCUGUUGUUGUUGUUCAUUAUGAUGUCCAAAUCUUCAUCCCCCAGGCAUAUAUCCUACCUCUCUUUGAACGUCCAAUCUGCCCCAGUUUGGGCGCCCGCUGAACAUUCCUCUGUUGAGUCGGAUGGCGGUGAGGUGCAUUCUGAUCUGCACGGCCAUUCAGGUGGUUGGACAGGACCAUGGUACUCGGUUGUAGAGAGCCUAUCGGCGGCAGAAGAUCGGGCAUCCCCGGAAUGCCGUACAUUUCCGCUGCAAGCUAAACCGUCAAGGAGGAAGAAGGGACUGAAAGCCUGCAAGUGCAAAUUGCAUCCGAAUGGAAGUCUGUCCUGUCGAAAGGGGAAUGCCGCCAAAUUUGCCACCAUUAUCAAAUGCCUCUGCAAGAGAACAUUCCAUCGUAAGUCCACAGUUUCAGACGCUAUGUUUGUGUGGUCCAUUAAUCAUUUAUCAUUUUAUUUAGUUUCAUUUUAUUUCAUUUUAUUUUAUCUCCCUGCUUUUUUGUGUCACUGUGUUCGAUAGUGCUGUACUGCUAAGUAUGGAUACCAGUAAAUAUAAAAAGAACAGAACCGCAUGAGAGUGCGAGAGAGAGAGAGAAAGAGAGAAAGAGAGAGAGAGAGUGAGACAUAUAUAUAUAUAGAGAGAGAGAGAGAGAGAUAGAGAGGGAGGGAGAGAGAGUGAGUGAGAGGGAGGGAGGGAGGGAGGGAGAGUGAGAGAGCGAGACAGGGAGAGAGAGAGAGAGAGAGAGAGAGAGAGAGAGAGAGAGAGAGAGAGAGAGAGAGAGGGAGGGGGGGGGGCAGCGGUACCUAUGAAAGAGUGCCAUGUCCAGGUUGUGUUGUCUUUCUCCUUGUUAUGGUGCUGUUGGCCACCAUUAUGGGGGACAGUGAAGGUAUGUACAUAGAUUGACACAAACUUCUUGAGAAACAGAUAUGCCAGCUGCAAUCAGUAAAAAGAACACAACCGCAUGAGUGUCUUUGAGGUGAGAACCUCUGCCAGAAAUCGUAACAGUAUCAGGCCUGUUCUUAGCAAUGUUUGUGUUUGAACCUUCAGUA
rnacentral:lncRNA from 1 species